rnacentral:rRNA from 1 species
UACGGAGGGGACUAGCGUUGUUCGGAAUUACUGGGCGUAAAGAGCUCGUAGGCGGUCUGUCGCGUCUGCUGUGAAAACCUAGGGCUUAACCCUGGGCCUGCAGUGGGUACGGGCAGACUAGAGUGCGGUAGGGGAGACUGGAAUUCCUGGUGUAGCGGUGAAAUGCGCAGAUAUCAGGAGGAACACCGGUGGCGAAGGCGGGUCUCUGGGCCGUAACUGACGCUGAGGAGCGAAAGCAUGGGGAGCGAACAGG